UCCUCAUUAAUGUAAUAGUGUGCUAUGCCCUGCUUGUACUUAUUCUGGUGACAUGAGGUAUCUGUGACUAGGGUAGUAUGAGUAGAGUAAAGUUCACCAAAUUCUUCAUUUGAUCA
rnacentral:precursor_RNA from 14 species